rnacentral:rRNA from 1 species
UGCCAGCAGCCGCGGUAAUACAGAGGGUGCAAGCGUUAAUCGGAAUUACUGGGCGUAAAGCGCGCGUAGGCGGCUAUUUAAGUCGGGUGUGAAAGCCCCGGGCUCAACCUGGGAAUUGCAUCCGAUACUGAAUGGCUAGAGUAUGAGAGAGGGAGGUAGAAUUCCACGUGUAGCGGUGAAAUGCGUAGAUAUGUGGAGGAAUACCGGUGGCGAAGGCGGCCUCCUGGCUUAAUACUGACGCUGAGGUGCGAAAGCGUGGGGAUCAAACAGGAUUAGAUACCCUGGUAGUCCACGCCGUAAACGAUGUCAACUAGCCGUUGGGAACCUUAGUGUUCUUGGUGGCGCAGCUAACGCGAUAAGUUGACCGCCUGGGGAGUACGGUCGCAAGAUUAAAACUCCAAAUGAAUUUGACGGGGGCCCGCACAAGCGGUGGAGCAUGUGGUUUAAUUCGACGCAACGCGAAGAACCUUACCAGGUCUUGACAUCCAGAGAACUUUUGUAGAGAUACAUUGGUGCCUUCGGGAGCUCUGAGACAGGUGCUGCAUGGCUGUCCGUCAGCUCGUGUCCGUGAGAUGUUGGGGUUAAGUCCCGCAACGAGCGCAACCCUUGUCAUUAGUGGCUACAUUUAGUGGGCACUCUAAUGAGACUGCCGGUGACAAACCCGAAGAAAGGUGGGGAUGACCUCAAGUCCUCAUGGCCCUUAUAGGUGGGGCUACACACGUCAU